UGGGUUCUUGUGGUGCCUGUUGCUU
rnacentral:piRNA from 1 species